rnacentral:lncRNA from 1 species
GACCCCUGUGCCCUGGAGUCCACUGAGUGAAGCCACACGGCUGGACUGCCUUGCACCUGCCAUCGGUCCGCACACCCCAUCCUGCGCCAGCCUCCAGGACACAAUGGCUUCCAGGAAGCGCCGGGGAGGGGAGAGAAAAGACUCGCAACAAUGGCCCCGGCCGGCCUGUUCUGCCCUGUCCCGCCCCAGCCUGCCACGAGACCCUGCCGAGUCCCCUCUGAGGCCGCCACUGGCACCCCAAGUGGCCAAGGCCCCCGGAGACCCUUAAGGGCUGGGAACCCCAAGGCUCCCGAGGCUGGGGCUGCAGAGUCUCGGCCCCACGGCCAGUACCACGGCCCCCACUUCUGGGCCGGAAUGGAAGGAACAGGCCUUCUCUUCAAGGCUCCCAGAGUGACCUGUCGUCACCCUCACACCUGAGGUGCUGCUGUGGCCAGCUCUGGCCCAGGUGGCCUCGUUGUCCCUGUGUGUCCUAGCUGUGGGAAGCGGGAGCAGAGAGAAGGUGUCUGUCCUGCCAGCUUCCUGCUGUCCGGUGCCGCCUCCCGGGGAACGAAGGUGCUGAUCCGGGGUGCCGGCCAUGUGGGGGUGCACAGGCUUGGGCAGGCAGCUGGGCAGGGACAGCCAGAGUGGUGUCUGGCGCUCAGGGCCGGACUACAGCUCUGGUGGGCUGAUUGCCUGGCCUGGCAGCACCCUGCUGUCAGCCCUCCCUCCCUGAAUGCGGUCAGCUGCCUGCGACAUGGCCUGGCCGGCAAGCCCAGGAAGCCGGUAUGAAGUGGAAUCAGCAGAGCAUUAAACAAGGUACAAAUGAUUUGCAAUAAAUUAUAUAAAUGCUGUCGGAGCUGUCGGGUCGCGGCCUCCAGAGCCCGUGAGGUCUCCUCGGGCAGCCCGGGGGCACAGGCGUCCGGCACCCCCAUGGCCAUCCCCGGGGCAGCUACGCGGCCUUUGUGGAUGCCAACCUUUGUCACAGCCAGGAGGGGGCCUCCCUCGGGAGGGGCUGUUUAAAUAUUGGCAGUUGACGACUUAACUCAGUUAACCGUAAAGAUGAAAAACCUCCCGGGCUGUAUAGGAAGUACAGCGCAGGUAUCUGCUUCUGGGGAGGCCUCAGGAAGCUUCCAAUCAUGGCAGAAAGGAAGGAGAACCCAAAAGUCACAUGGAGGGAGAGGGUGCCAGGGAGAGGAGGAGGUGCCAGCUGCUGUGUGAACUACUGGAGCAAGAAAGCACUCAUCAUCACUGGACAGCAGCAAGCCACUCCUGAGGAAUCCGCCCCUGGUGCAGACACCUCCCACCAGGCCCACUUCCAACCCUGGAAGUCACGUUUCAACAUGAGAUUUGGAGGGGGGGCCACACAUCCAAACCAAACAAACCCUCUGCUUGCUAGACGUCUCCCCUCCCCCACCCCCCCUCCCCCAGCCCUUGGCAGCCACCCCUCUUUGUUCUAUGGAUUUACCUGUGCUGAAAAUCUCAUCUAAUGAUCCUAUGAUGUUUGUCAUUUUGUGUCUGGCUUAUUUCACUUGGUGUGAUGUCUUCAAUGUUCAUCCACGUGUGUCAGAAUGUCAUUUUUUUUGAGACAGAAUGUUGCUCUGUUGCCCAGGCUGGAGCGCAACGGCGUGAUCUCUACUCACUGCAAGCCCCACCUCCCGGG